rfam:Pteropus alecto contig51612, whole genome shotgun sequence.
CAUGGAGAAGGUCGAUUUGGCUGAUGUGGUUCAGAGAAGCCCGCUUGCUGACAUUCUUAUUCCAUG